ACACCAUGAUGAGGGCACCUUAACAAAUAUGUUCCUUGAAUCUCUCCCAAGCAUCGGACACUACUUCAUCGUCCCCUUCUUGCAGUAGUAAAAUUGCAUUUCUAAGUUU